rfam:Ailuropoda melanoleuca scaffold117_11, whole genome shotgun sequence.
UGGACUAAUGAUGAUAGCUGGUGUCUUAUGAAUCAUGGUUGAUGAAUACAUCUCGAACUCCGAGGUCCAA